CAGUCGCCACGGUAAUACGGAGGGUGCAAGCGUUAAUCGGAAUUACUGGGCGUAAAGCGUGCGUAGGCGGUUCGUUAAGUCUGUUGUGAAAGCCCCGGGCUCAACCUGGGAAUGGCAAUGGAUACUGGCGAGCUAGAGUGUGUCAGAGGAUGGUGGAAUUCCCGGUGUAGCGGUGAAAUGCGUAGAGAUCGGGAGGAACAUCAGUGGCGAAGGCGGCCAUCUGGGACAACACUGACGCUGAGGCACGAAAGCGUGGGGAGCAAACAGGAUUAGAUACCCCCGUAGUCCCUGUCUCUUAUCC
rnacentral:rRNA from 1 species